CAUGGCUCAGGACGAACGCUGGCGGCGUGCUUAACACAUGCAAGUCGAACGAUGAACCGCUUUCGGGCGGGGAUUAGUGGCGAACGGGUGAGUAACACGUGGGCAAUCUGCCCUGCACUCUGGGACAAGCCCUGGAAACGGGGUCUAAUACCGGAUAUGACCGUCUGCCGCAUGGUGGAUGGUGUAAAGCUCCGGCGGUGCAGGAUGAGCCCGCGGCCUAUCAGCUUGUUGGUGAGGUAGUGGCUCACCAAGGCGACGACGGGUAGCCGGCCUGAGAGGGCGACCGGCCACACUGGGACUGAGACACGGCCCAGACUCCUACGGGAGGCAGCAGUGGGGAAUAUUGCACAAUGGGCGAAAGCCUGAUGCAGCGACGCCGCGUGAGGGAUGACGGCCUUCGGGUUGUAAACCUCUUUCAGCAGGGAAGAAGCGAAAGUGACGGUACCUGCAGA
rnacentral:rRNA from 1 species